rnacentral:tmRNA from 1 species
GGGGCUGAUUCAGGAUUCGACAGAAUAUUUGAAACCCUAGGAGCAUGCCGUGGGGCGGUUGGCCACGUAAAAAGCCGCAAAAAAAUAGUCGCAAACGACGAAAACUACGCACUAGCAGCCUAAUACGCUGUGUAGUGCCUACCUCUGAAGCCCCGCUUGCUGGCUGAAGAUCAAAGGUAGUCAAACCCUGCAUGAUCGCGUGGACUCUUUGUCGGGAGAGAAAGCGUUAAAACUAAUCCGACUCACCCGAUAGAACCCUGUCUCUGGGGGUCUUGAAAGGUUAAAUAAAUCAGUGACUAAGCAUGUAGUGCCGACGGCGUAGAUGUUUUGGACGCGGGUUCAAAUCCCGCCAGCUCCACCA